UUUUUGUGCACAUGCACAGCAAUGCAUGUUGAAUAUCUUGCUCCCUUUUGAAAUAAAGCACACUCUCCUCACAGCCACCUGUGAAAUGGCACAAACAAAACCCUACUUCUCCUGAGAGCAGCAAGGUACGAUACCAACAACAGGGAUGGUCUAGAAGAACAGGAAAUCCAGGAUUAAACUGCCGUAGCAGAGAAAUGCAAACCAAAGCCCGGUGAAUCUGUAGCAGGUGGGAAUAAGGAAAAGGAUGAUGCUGCCAUUGUUAUUUCUGAAGGUCAUAGUUAUGUCUGGGAAUUAUUUUCACUUCAAGACUGUAAUUCAUGGCCAGCAGGUUCCUAAAGGCUCCAGAAUGUGCCUCUGGGAAUGGAGCUGCCAUGAGUGUAGGGAGCAAGAAAUGUAAUCGAAGGAAGAGUGAGAUAGAGGGGAAAAGAAGUAACAUGAAAGAAAUGUAAGGAGAAUGAUAUCCUGCAAUGAGGAUGACAGGCAAUGACAGGAGUUCAUUUUGGAUACGAAGUACUUCUUAACACACUGUGUCAACAUAAGAAGUAGGGAAGGAAUGAAGCAGAGGAAAAGGAAAAUAAACAAAUAGAGAGAAAGUGUGAAGAAAAUUAA
rnacentral:lncRNA from 1 species